UACGUAGGUGGCAAGCGUUGUCCGGAUUUAUUGGGUUUAAAGGGUGCGUAGGCGGCCCCCUAAGUCAGUGGUGAAAUACGGCAGCUUAACUGUCGAGGUGCCAUUGAUACUGGGAGGCUUGAGUACUGAUGAGGUAGGCGGAAUUGACGGUGUAGCGGUGAAAUGCUUAGAUAUCGUCAAGAACACCGAUAGCGAAGGCAGCUUACUAAAGAGUAACUGACGCUGAGGCACGAAAGUGCGGGGAUCAAACAGG
rnacentral:rRNA from 1 species